rnacentral:rRNA from 1 species
CAGUAGCCACGGUAAUACGUAGGGUGCAAGCGUUAAUCGGAAUUACUGGGCGUAAAGCGUGCGCAGGCGGUUUUGUAAUACAGAGGUGAAAUCCCCGGGCUCAACCUGGGAACUGCCUUUGUGACUGCAAGGCUAGAGUACGGCAGAGGGGGAUGGAAUUCCGCGUGUAGCAGUGAAAUGCGUAGAUAUGCGGAGGAACACCGAUGGCGAAGGCAAUCCCCUGGGCCUGUACUGACGCUCAUGCACGAAAGCGUGGGGAGCAAACAGGAUUAGAUACCCCCGUAGUCCCUGUCUCUUAUAC